rnacentral:rRNA from 1 species
GCGGCGUGCCUAAUACAUGCAGUCGAGCGAACGGACGAGAAGCUUGCUUCUCUGAUGUUAGCGGCGGACGGGUGAGUAACACGUGGAUAACCUACCUAUAAGACUGGGAUAACUUCGGGAAACCGGAGCUAAUACCGGAUAAUAUUUUGAACCGCAUGGUUCAAAAGUGAAAGACGGUCUUGCUGUCACUUAUAGAUGGAUCCGCGCUGCAUUAGCUAGUUGGUAAGGUAACGGCUUACCAAGGCAACGAUGCAUAGCCGACCUGAGAGGGUGAUCGGCCACACUGGAACUGAGACACGGUCCAGACUCCUACGGGAGGCAGCAGUAGGGAAUCUUCCGCAAUGGGCGAAAGCCUGACGGAGCAACGCCGCGUGAGUGAUGAAGGUCUUCGGAUCGUAAAACUCUGUUAUUAGGGAAGAACAUAUGUGUAAGUAACUGUGCACAUCUUGACGGUACCUAAUCAGAAAGCCACGGCUAACUACGUGCCAGCAGCCGCGGUAAUACGUAGGUGGCAAGCGUUAUCCGGAAUUAUUGGGCGUAAAGCGCGCGUAGGCGGUUUUUUAAGUCUGAUGUGAAAGCCCACGGCUCAACCGUGGAGGGUCAUUGGAAACUGGAAAACUUGAGUGCAGAAGAGGAAAGUGGAAUUCCAUGUGUAGCGGUGAAAUGCGCAGAGAUAUGGAGGAACACCAGUGGCGAAGGCGACUUUCUGGUCUGUAACUGACGCUGAUGUGCGAAAGCGUGGGGAUCAAACAGGAUUAGAUACCCUGGUAGUCCACGCCGUAAACGAUGAGUGCUAAGUGUUAGGGGGUUUCCGCCCCUUAGUGCUGCAGCUAACGCAUUAAGCACUCCGCCUGGGGAGUACGACCGCAAGGUUGAAACUCAAAGGAAUUGACGGGGACCCGCACAAGCGGUGGAGCAUGUGGUUUAAUUCGAAGCAACGCGAAGAACCUUACCAAAUCUUGACAUCCUUUGACAACUCUAGAGAUAGAGCUUUCCCCUUCGGGGGACAAAGUGACAGGUGGUGCAUGGUUGUCGUCAGCUCGUGUCGUGAGAUGUUGGGUUAAGUCCCGCAACGAGCGCAACCCUUAAGCUUAGUUGCCAUCAUUAAGUUGGGCACUCUAAGUUGACUGCCGGUGACAAACCGGAGGAAGGUGGGGAUGACGUCAAAUCAUCAUGCCCCUUAUGAUUUGGGCUACACACGUGCUACAAUGGACAAUACAAAGGGCAGCGAAACCGCGAGGUCAAGCAAAUCCCAUAAAGUUGUUCUCAGUUCGGAUUGUAGUCUGCAACUCGACUACAUGAAGCUGGAAUCGCUAGUAAUCGUAGAUCAGCAUGCUACGGUGAAUACGUUCCCGGGUCUUGUACACACCGCCCGUCACACCACGAGAGUUUGUAACACCCGAAGCCGGUGGAGUAACCUUUUAGGAGCUAGCCGUCGAAGGUGGA